GACGAACGCUGGCGGCGUGCUUAACACAUGCAAGUCGAACGGAAAGGCCCUGCUUUUGUGGGGUGCUCGAGUGGCGAACGGGUGAGUAACACGUGAGUAACCUGCCCUUGACUUUGGGAUAACUUCAGGAAACUGGGGCUAAUACCGGAUAGGAGCUCCUGCUGCAUGGUGGGGGUUGGAAAGUUUCGGCGGUUGGGGAUGGACUCGCGGCUUAUCAGCUUGUUGGUGGGGUAGUGGCUUACCAAGGCUUUGACGGGUAGCCGGCCUGAGAGGGUGACCGGCCACAUUGGGACUGAGAUACGGCCCAGACUCCUACGGGAGGCAGCAGUGGGGAAUAUUGCACAAUGGGCGGAAGCCUGAUGCAACAACGCCGCGUGCGGGAUGACGGCCUUCGGGUUGUAAACCGCUCUCGCCUGUGACGAAGCGUGAGUGACGGUAAUGGGUAAAGAAGCACCGGCUAACUACGUG
rnacentral:rRNA from 1 species